AUGGUGAUAUCUCAGUUGGGAGAGCGUCAGACCGAAGAUCUGAAAGUUGUGUGUUCGAUGCACGCUCACCGCA